rnacentral:rRNA from 1 species
AUUGCCCUAGUAACGGCGAGUGAAGCGGCAACAGCUCAAAUUUGAAAUCUGGCUCUCGGGCCCGAGUUGUAAUUUGUAGAGGAUGCUUUUGAUGCGGUGCCUUCCGAGUUCCCUGGAACGGGACGCCAUAGAGGGUGAGAGCCCCGUCUGGUUGGAUGCCAAAUCUCUGUAAAGCUCCUUCGACGAGUCGAGUAGUUUGGGAAUGCUGCUCUAAAUGGGAGGUAUAUGUCUUCUAAAGCUAAAUAUUGGCCAGAGACCGAUAGCGCACAAGUAGAGUGAUCGAAAGAUGAAAAGCACUUUGAAAAGAGAGUUAAAAAGUACGUGAAAUUGUUGAAAGGGAAGCGUUUAUGACCAGACUUGGGCUUGGUUAAUCAUCUGGGGUUCUCCCCAGUGCACUUUUCCAGUCCAGGCCAGCAUCAGUUUUCGCCGGGGGAUAAAGGCUUCGGGAAUGUGGCUCUCUCCGGGGAGUGUUAUAGCCCGUUGCGUAAUACCCUGGCGGGGACUGAGGUUCGCGCAUCUGCAAGGAUGCUGGCGUAAUGGUCAUCAACGACCCGUCUUGAAACACGGACCAAGGAGUCGUCUUCGUAUGCGAGUGUUCGGGUGUCAAACCCCUACGCGUAAUGAAAGUGAACGCAGGUGAGAGCUUCGGCGCAUCAUCGACCGAUCCUGAUGUUCUCGGAUGGAUUUGAGUAAGAGCAUACGGGGCCGGACCCGAAAGAAGGUGAACUAUGCCUGUGUAGGGUGAAGCCAGAGGAAACUCUGUGGAGGCUCGCAGCGGUUCUGACGUGCAAAUCGAUCGUCAAACAUGGGCAUGGGGGCGAAAGACUAAUCGAACCUUCUAGUAGCUGGUUUCCGCCGAA